rnacentral:ncRNA from 1 species
UUUCUGGUUGAUCUUGUCAGUAGUUAUACACUUGUCUCAAAGAUUAAGCUAUGCAUAUCCAAAUACAAACUAUAUUAUAGUGAAACCGCAAAAGGCUCAGUACAGCAGCUACUACAGUAGACUCUCUCAAAUUCGGGCAUAUAGGA